rnacentral:snRNA from 1 species
UCUUGUAAAUAUUUUAAAACACU